UACGAAGGGGGCUAGCGUUGCUCGGAAUCACUGGGCGUAAAGCGCACGUAGGCGGCUUUCUAAGUCAGGGGUGAAAUCCUGGAGCUCAACUCCAGAACUGCCUUUGAUACUGGAGAGCUUGAGUCCGGGAGAGGUGAGUGGAACUCCGAGUGUAGAGGUGAAAUUCGUAGAUAUUCGGAAGAACACCAGUGGCGAAGGCGGCUCACUGGCCCGGUACUGACGCUGAGGUGCGAAAGCGUGGGGAGCAGACAGG
rnacentral:rRNA from 1 species